rnacentral:rRNA from 1 species
CCUACGGGUGGCAGCAGUGGGGAAUAUUGGGCAAUGGGCGAAAGCCUGACCCAGCAACGCCGCGUGAAGGAAGAAGGCUUUCGGGUUGUAAACCUCUUUUGACAGGGAAGAGAAGAAGACGGUACCUGUCGAAUAAGCCACGGCUAACUACGUGCCAGCAGCCGCGGUAAUACGUAGGUGGCAAGUGUUGUCCGGAUUUACUGGGUGGAAAGGGCGUGUAGCCGGGCUGACAAGUCAGAUGUGAAAUCCGGGGGCUCAACCCCCGAACUGCAUUUGAAACUGUUGGUCUUGAGUGUCGGAGAGGCAGGCGGAAUUCCUGGUGGAGCGGUGAAAUGCGUAGAGAUUAGGAGGAACACCAGUGGCGAAGGCGGCCUGCUGGACGACAACUGACGGUGAGGCGCGAAAGCGUGGGGAGCAAACAGGAUUAGAUACCCUUGUAGUC